rnacentral:antisense_RNA from 1 species
CUUGAGCGAGCCGAGCAGCAGGGGCCGGUCGCGGUGCUGCCCGUACGUGGCGAGCAGGGCCUGGGCCUC